AGACAUGCAAGUCGAACGAGAAGCUCCCUUCGGGGAGUGGAGAGUGGCGCACGUGGUGAGUAACACGUGAGCAACCUGCCGGGAAGCCCGGGAUAGCCCUCCGAAAGGAGGAUUAAUACCGGAUGUGGCCACCCUGCGAUUGCAGGGGAAGCUAAAGGAUUUAUUCACUUCCCGAGGGGCUCGCGGCCCAUCAGCUUGUUGGUGAGGGUAACGGCCCACCAAGGCGACAACGGGUAGCUGGUCUGAGAGGAUGGUCAGCCACACUGGAACUGAGACACGGUCCAGACACCUACGGGUGGCAGCAGUCGAGAAUCAUUCGCAAUGGGGGAAACCCUGACGAUGCGACGCCGCGUGGAGGAUGAAGGCCUUAGGGUUGUAAACUCCUGUCAAGAGGGAAUAAGCAAGUGAAGGUACCUCUAGAGGAAGGGGCGGCUAAUUCCGUGCCAGCAGCCGCGGUAACACGGAAGCCCCGAGCGUUGUUCGGAUUCAUUGGGCGUAAAGGGUGCGUAGGCGGCGCGGAAAGUCCGGCGUGAAAGGCAGGGGCUCAACCUCUGGACUGCGUUGGAUACUUCCGUGCUUGAGGACUGGAGGGGAGACUGGAAUUCACGGUGUAGCAGUGAAAUGCGUAGAUAUCGUGAGGAAGACCGGUGGCGAAGGCGAGUCUCUGGACAGAUCCUGACGCUGAGGCACGAAGGCUGGGGGAGCGAACAGGAUUAGAUACCCUGGUAGUCCCAGCAGUAAACGAUGUGAGCUUGAUGUGGGGGGAUUCGACCCCUUCCGUGUCGAAGCUAACGCGAUAAGCUCACCGCCUGAGGAGUACGGCCGCAAGGCUAAAACUCAAAGAAAUUGACGGGGACCCGCACAAGCGGUGGAGUAUGUGGCUUAAUUCGAUGCAACGCGAAGAACCUUACCUGGCCUUGACAUGCAUUGUGUCGUCGGUGAAAGCCGGCUAGUCCUGGAAACAGGACGCUUUGCACAGGUGCUGCAUGGCUGUCGUCAGCUCGUGUCGUGAGAUGUUGGGUUAAGUCCCGCAACGAGCGCAACCCUUGUGGUCAGUUACUAACCGGCUUAGCCGGAGGACUCUGGCCAGACUGCCCUGUCAAACGGGGAGGAAGGUGGGGACGACGUCAAGUCAGUAUGG
rnacentral:rRNA from 1 species